rnacentral:sRNA from 1 species
UUCGAGACCAAUGGAUCGAGCCGAGCGAAGCGAGACAGCGUCACGGAGUGACGACCCGAAGGGCGAGGCCGCAGGCCGAGUA